rnacentral:rRNA from 1 species
GACGAACGCUGGCGGCGUGCUUAACACAUGCAAGUCGAACGGAAAGGCCCUGCUUUUGUGGGGUGCUCGAGUGGCGAACGGGUGAGUAACACGUGAGUAACCUGCCCUAGACUUUGGGAUAACUUCAGGAAACUGGGGCUAAUACCGGAUAGGAGCCCCUGCUGCAUGGUGGGGGUUGGAAAGUUUGGGCGGUUGGGGAUGGACUCGCGGCUUAUCAGCUUGUUGGUGGGGGAGUGGCUUACCAAGGCUUUGACGGGUAGCCGGCCUGAGAGGGUGACCGGCCACAUUGGGACUGCGAUACGGCCCAGUCUCCUACGGUAGGCAGCAGUGGGGAAUAUUGCACAAUGGGCGGAAGCCUGAUGCAGCAACGCCGCGUGCGGGAUGACGGCCUUCGGGUUGUAAACCGCUUUCGCCUGUGACGAAGCGUGAGUGACGGUAAUGGGUAAAGAAGCACCGGCUAACUACGUG